rnacentral:rRNA from 2 species
AGCGCCCCGCAAGGGGAGCGGCAGACGGGUGAGUAACGCGUGGGAACGUACCCUUUACUACGGAAUAACGCAGGGAAACUUGUGCUAAUACCGUAUGUGCCCUUCGGGGGAAAGAUUUAUCGGUAAGGGAUCGGCCCGCGUUGGAUUAGCUAGUUGGUGGGGUAAAGGCCUACCAAGGCGACGAUCCAUAGCUGGUCUGAGAGGAUGAUCAGCCACAUUGGGACUGAGACACGGCCCAAACUCCUACGGGAGGCAGCAGUGGGGAAUAUUGGACAAUGGGCGCAAGCCUGAUCCAGCCAUGCCGCGUGAGUGAUGAAGGCCCUAGGGUUGUAAAGCUCUUUCACCGGAGAAGAUAAUGACGGUAUCCGGAGAAGAAGCCCCGGCUAACUUCGUGCCA